UUAAGUGAAUAAGGGCGCACGGUGGAUGCCUUGGCACUAGGAGCCGAUGAAGGACGGGACUAACACCGAUAUGCUUUGGGGAGCUGUAAGUAAGCUAUGAUCCAGAGAUUUCCGAAUGGGGGAACCCAGCAUCUUUUAUAGGAUGUUACGUCUGCGUGAAUACAUAGCGCAGUCGAGGUAGACGCAGAGAACUGAAACAUCUAAGUACCUGCAGGAAGAGAAAGAAAAUUCGAUUCCCUGAGUAGCGGCGAGCGAAACGGGAAAAGCCCAAACCAACAAGCUUGCUUGUUGGGGUUGUAGGACUCCGAUAUGGUAGUCUAUUCAGAUAGUCGAAAUACUUGGAAAAGUAUGUCAAAGAGGGUAAAAACCCCGUAGGCGAAAUUUGGAUAACACCUAGGAGGAUCCUGAGUACGGCGGAACACGAGGAAUUCCGUCGGAAUCCGGGAGGACCAUCUCCCAAGGCUAAAUACUCCCUAGUGACCGAUAGUGAACCAGUACCGUGAGGGAAAGGUGAAAAGCACCCCGGAAGGGGAGUGAAAUAGAUCCUGAAACCGUGUGCCUACAACAAGUUAGAGCCCGUUAAUGGGUGAUAGCGUGCCUUUUGUAGAAUGAACCGGCGAGUUACGAUAGCAUGCGAGGUUAAGUUGAAGAGACGGAGCCGUAGCGAAAGCGAGUCUGAAUAGGGCGAAUGAGUAUGUUGUUGUAGACCCGAAACCAUGUGAUCUACCCAUGUCCAGGUUGAAGGUGCGGUAAAACGCACUGGAGGACCGAACCCACGUACGUUGAAAAGUGCGGGGAUGAGGUGUGGGUAGCGGAGAAAUUCCAAACGAACUUGGAGAUAGCUGGUUCUCUCCGAAAUAGCUUUAGGGCUAGCCUCGGAAUUGAGAAUGAUGGAGGUAGAGCACUGUUUGGACUAGGGGCCCAUCUCGGGUUACCGAAUUCAGAUAAACUCCGAAUGCCAUUCAUUCAUAUCCGGGAGUCAGACUGUGAGUGAUAAGAUCCAUAGUCGAAAGGGAAACAGCCCAGACCACCAGCUAAGGUCCCCAAAUAACUAUUAAGUGGAAAAGGAUGUGGGGUUGCACAGACAACUAGGAUGUUGGCUUAGAAGCAGCCACCAUUUAAAGAGUGCGUAAUAGCUCACUAGUCGAGUGACCCUGCGCCGAAAAUGUACCGGGGCUAAAUAGUUUACCGAAGCUGUGGAGUGCACCAUUAGGUGCAUUGGUAGGAGAGCGUUCUAAGGGCGUUGAAGGCAGAUCGUGAGGACUGCUGGAGCGCUUAGAAGUGAGAAUGCCGGUAUGAGUAGCGAAAGACAGGUGAGAAUCCUGUCCACCGAAUGACUAAGGUUUCCUGGGGAAGGCUCGUCCGCCCAGGGUUAGUCGGGACCUAAGCCGAGGCCGACAGGCGUAGGCGAUGGACAACAGGUUGAUAUUCCUGUACCCGUUGUUUUUGUUUGAGCAAUGGAGGGACGCAGGAGGCUAAGAAGUGCAGACUGAUGGAUAUGUCUGUUCAAGCAGUAAGUCUUGGUAGGAGUCAAAUGCUUCUACCUAUACGGACAAGCUGUGAUGAGGAGGGAAAUAAUAGUACCGAAGCUUCUGAUGUCACACUGCCAAGAAAAGCUUCUAGUGAGAAAACAACGGCCCGUACCGCAAACCGACACAGGUAGUCGAGGAGAGAAUCCUAAGGUGAGCGAGAGAACUCUCGUUAAGGAACUCGGCAAAAUGACCCCGUAACUUCGGGAGAAGGGGUGCUGCUCUAACGAGCAGCCGCAGUGAAUAGGCCCAAGCGACUGUUUAUCAAAAACACAGGUCUCUGCAAAAUCGAAAGAUGACGUAUAGGGGCUGACGCCUGCCCGGUGCUGGAAGGUUAAGAGGAGUGCUUAGCGUAAGCGAAGGUACGAAUUGAAGCCCCAGUAAACGGCGGCCGUAACUAUAACGGUCCUAAGGUAGCGAAAUUCCUUGUCGGGUAAGUUCCGACCCGCACGAAAGGCGUAACGAUUUGGGCACUGUCUCAACGAGAGACUCGGUGAAAUUUUAGUACCUGUGAAGAUGCAGGUUACCCGCGACAGGACGGAAAGACCCCAUGGAGCUUUACUGUAGUUUGAUAUUGAGUGUCUGUACCGCAUGUACAGGAUAGGUAGGAGCCGUAGAGAUCGGGACGCCAGUUUCGAUGGAGGCAAUGGUGGGAUACUACCCUUGCGUUAUGGCCACUCUAACCCGCAGCCCUUAUCGGGCUGGGAGACAGUGUCAGAUGGGCAGUUUGACUGGGGCGGUCGCCUCCUAAAAGGUAACGGAGGCGCCCAAAGGUUCCCUCAGAAUGGUUGGAAAUCAUUCGAAGAGUGUAAAGGCAGAAGGGAGCUUGACUGCGAGAGCUACAACUCGAGCAGGGACGAAAGUCGGGCUUAGUGAUCCGGUGGUUCCGCAUGGAAGGGCCAUCGCUCAACGGAUAAAAGCUACCCUGGGGAUAACAGGCUUAUCUCCCCCAAGAG
rnacentral:rRNA from 1 species